rnacentral:rRNA from 1 species
GAUGAACGCUGGCGGCGUGCCUAAUACAUGCAAGUCGAGCGAACAGACGAGGAGCUUGCUCCUCUGAUGUUAGCGGCGGACGGGUGAGUAACACGUGGAUAACCUACCUAUAAGACUUGGAUAACUUCGGGAAACCGGAGCUAAUACCGGAUAACAUGUUGAACCGCAUGGUUCAACAGUGAAAGACGGUCUUGCUGUCACUUAUAGCUGGAUCCGCGCCGCAUUAGCUAGUUGGUAAGGUAACGGCUUACCAAGGCAACGAUGCGUAGCCGACCUGAGAGGGUGAUCGGCCACACUGGAACUGAGACACGGUCCAGACUCCUACGGGAGGCAGCAGUAGGGAAUAUUCCGCAAUGGGCGAAAGCCUGACGGAGCAACGCCGCGUGAGUGAAGAAGGUCUUCGGAUCGUAAAACUCUGUUAUUAGGGAAGAAAAAAUGUGUAAGUAACUAUGCACGUCUUGACGGUACCUAAUCAGAAAGCCACGGCUAACUACGUG